GUGUAACCGUACAGUUACAUAUUACGUAUUACGUGAAAAUGUGUGUAACAAGAAAAGUGUAGCGAUAAAAGAAAAGAGUUUGGGCCCAUUUCCUUUGAAUAUACCCUCGAGUCACUCGCGUGAACUGCGCAUGCGCGAAUCUUCCCCCUCCCCUCGGCUAGCGAGCCGCGAUCGAAGGAGCUCGGGAUCGAUGCGAAGAUCGUCAUUGGUCGGCGAGCCGGCUUAGAAGCAAGUUUACUUAAGAAUUAUUAUUAAAGACGCGCAUUCGUAGAGGUUACGUUGAUUCCCGCGAAUGUGAACAUUGGUUGCUAGUUGAUAAUUAAACAAUUUGGCACACAUCGACCGGGGAUCGCACACGGCAUUACCUGCGGAGAAGAAUUUCAAGUGAUCCUAGCAAGGAUGCGACAUACGUAAGGACGUGAAUCACAGCUGGACCCUUACGAAUGACAGGGAGAAAACGUCGACUCACAAGUGAGACAAUUUCGUGAGGUUCCUGAAGGUGUCAUUCGACAACAUUCCUAUCUGAUUGUUGCUCAGGUCCCUGAAAUCAGAAGAAACGAUCCAUGAUUGCGGUUAUCUUCAAUCUCUGCGAGGGUGGUUCAGUCUCUCCGGUUGGAUCGUCUUGAUGUCGUUCACGUCCAGAUACAACUCGGUGGUUUCCGGUGGAAUCCCACGUGGAAUCUCUGU